rnacentral:misc_RNA from 1 species
GAUGAAGAACGUAGCGAAAUGCGAUAAGUAAUGUGAAUUGCAGAAUUCAGUGAAUCAUCGAAUCUUUGAACGCACAUUGCGCCCCUUGGUAUUCCGAGGGGCAUGCCUAUUCGAGCGUCAUUAUCACCCCUCAAGCCUAGCUUGGUGUUGAGGCCUGCUGUCAAGGCAGCCUCUAAAAUCAGUGGCAGUGCUGUCAGGCUCUAAGCGUAGUAAACCUAAUCGCUAUAGACACCUGGUGGACACUCGCCAGAACCCCCCCAUUUUUUAAUGAUUGACCUCGGAUUAGGUAGGGAUACCCGCUGAACUUAAGCAUAUCAAUAAGCGGAGGA